AGCACCCCACCUUGAGUCGCCGCAUCCGAGCGUCGACCAGUGUGAUUCUACACGAGCGUCCGCUUGGGUGGGGAGAGAGU
ncrna:unclassified sequences RAGATH-10 RNA